rfam:Tenacibaculum sp. LPB0136, complete genome.
GUUUAGCCCUGAUUGCAGCGGCAUCCUUUUUGUUUUUCACAAAAAGAUAUAGCGAAAAGCAGGAAAUAGC